rnacentral:rRNA from 1 species
UAAUUUAAAGUCUGACCUGCCCAAUGAUAAUUUUAAUGGCCGCAGUAUUUUGACUGUGCAAAGGUAGCAUAAUCAUUAGUUUCUUAAUUAGAAACUAGAAUGAAAGGUUGAACGAGAAAAUAACUGUCUCUUUAUAAUUUUUUUAGAAUUUUAUUUUUAAGUUAAAAAGCUUAAAUAAAUUUGAAAGACGAGAAGACCCUAUAGAGUUUAAUAUUUUAUUAAUUAAAUUUUAAAAAUAGAAUUAUAUUUAUUUUAUUAAAAAAAGUAUUUAAUUGGGGUGAUUGAAAAAUUUAAUUAACUUUUUUUUUAUUUUAACAUUUGUAUAUGAUAAAUUGAUCCAUUAUUAAUGAUUAUAAGAUUAAAUUACCUUAGGGAUAACAGCGUAAUUUUUUUUAAGAGUUCCUAUCGAUAAAAAAGUUUGCGACCUCGAUGUUGGAUUAAAAUUAAUUUUUGGUGUAGAAGCUAAAAUAUUAGGUCUGUUCGACCUUUAAAAUUUU